rnacentral:rRNA from 1 species
AAUUAUUUAUUUGAUGGUUUCUUACUACAUGGAUGACCGUAGUAAUUCUAGAGCUAAUACAUGCGUAAAGUCCCGACUCUCGCGGGGAGGGAUGUAUUUAUUAGAUUAAAAACCAAUGCGGCCUUUGGUCGGACUUGUGUUGAUUCAUAGUAACUUUUCGGAUCGCAGGGCUUCACGCCGGCGACAGUUCAUUCAAAUUUCUGCCCUAUCAGCUUUCGACGGUAGUGUAGUGGACUACCGUGGCAUUUACGGGUGACGGAGAAUUAGGGUUCGAUUCAGGGGAGGGAGCCUGAGAAACGGCUACCACA